GCACCACAAGAACGCGUGGAGCAUGUGGCUUAAUUUGACUCAACGCGGGAAAUCUUACCGGGUCCGGACACACUGAGGAUUGACAGGCAAUAUAUGUGACUCUUCGGAGUUUGCAUUGUUAAAUAUGCUAGUCCUUUCAUGAUUAUGUGAUAGGUGGUGCAUGGCCGUUCUUAGUUCGUGGAGUGAUCUGUCUGCUUAAUUGCGUUUCAAAUUACUUAUAAGGUAGCAAUACGCGAUGAAGCUUUCAAUAGUCCUCACGGAUUCACUUGAGUCUCUCGCUUCGCUAUCCUUUCGAAUGCAACGAACGUGACCGCAACCUCUUGUUGCCUUCGUUUAACAUCCUGCAGCUCGCUGUGGGUACUGAGGGCUUCACUCGGUGACUUUGGGCUGAGCAAUCGGUCU
rnacentral:rRNA from 1 species